rnacentral:rRNA from 1 species
UGGGGAAUAUUGGACAAUGGGCGCAAGCCUGAUCCAGCCAUGCCGCGUGAGUGAUGAAGGCCCUAGGGUUGUAAAGCUCUUUCACCGGUGAAGAUAAUGACGGUAACCGGAGAAGAAGCCCCGGCUAACUUCGUGCCAGCAGCCGCGGUAAUACGAAGGGGGCUAGCGUUGUUCGGAAUUACUGGGCGUAAAGCGCACGUAGGCGGAUUGUUAAGUCGGGGGUGAAAUCCCGGGGCUCAACCCCGGAACUGCCUUCGAUACUGGCAAUCUAGAGUCCGGAAGAGGUGAGUGGAAUUCCGGGUGUAGAGGUGAAAUUCGUAGAUAUUCGGAGGAACACCAGUGGCGAAGGCGGCUCACUGGUCCGGUACUGACGCUGAGGUGCGAAAGCGUGGGGAGCAAACA